rnacentral:rRNA from 1 species
UACGUAGGGUGCAAGCGUUGUCCGGAAUUAUUGGGCGUAAAGAGCUCGUAGGCGGUUCGUCACGUCGGCUGUGAAAUCCCGAGGCUCAACCUCGGUCUGCAGUCGAUACGGGCGGACUGGAGUACUGCAGGGAGACUGGAAUUCCUGGUGUAGCGGUGAAAUGCGCAGAUAUCAGGAGGAACACCGGUGCGAAGGCGGUCUCUGGCAGUAACUGACGCUGAGGAGCGAAGCGUGGGAGCGAACAGG